rnacentral:rRNA from 1 species
GACGAACGCUGGCGGCGUGCUUAACACAUGCAAGUCGAGCGAUGAAGCACCUUCGGGUGUGAAUUAGCGGCGAACGGGUGAGGAACACGUGAAGAAUCUGCCUUCAACUCUGGGAUAACUCCGGGAAACCGGGGCUAAUACCGGAUAUGAGCCUUUAUCGCCUGAUCGGGGCUGGACAGUUUUUCGGUUGAAGAUGACUUCGCGGCCUAUCAGCUUGUUGGUGGGGUAAUGGCUCACCACGGCGACGACGGGUAGCCGGCCUGAGAGGGAGACCGGCCACACUGGGACUGAGACACGGCCCAGACUCCUACGGGAGGCAGCAGUGGGGAAUAUUGGGCAAUGGAGGAAACUCUGACCCAGCGACGCCGCGUGAGGGAUGAAGGCCUUCGGGUUGUAAACCUCUUUCAGUAGGGAAGAAGCGAAAGUGACGGUACCUACAGAAGAAGCACCGGCUAACUAUGUGCCAGCAGCCGCGGUAA